rnacentral:pre_miRNA from 15 species
AGUGCGAAAAUUGAAAAUUGUACAAAAAGAAGGGAACGGUUGCUGAUGAUGUAGUUUGAAACUCUCACAAUUUAUAUCACAGUGGCUGUUCUUUUUUGUUUGGCAAUCGAUCUACGUUCAGUGGUU